GUGGUAAAAGCUCCGGCGGUCAAAGAUGGGCAUGCGUGCCAUUAGUUAGUUGGUGAGGUUACGGCUCACCAAGACAACGAUGGCUAGGGGGUCUGAGAGGAUGAUCCCCCACACUGGUACUGAGACACGGACCAGACUCCUACGGGAGGCAGCAGUGAGGAAUAUUGGUCAAUGGACGCAAGUCUGAACCAGCCAUGCCGCGUGCAGGAUGAAUGCCCUAUGGGUUGUAAACUGCUUUUCUACAAGAAGAAACUUCCUGAUGUAUCAGGAACUGACGGUAUUGUAGGAAUAAGCAUCGGCUAACUCCGUGCCAGCAGCCGCGGUAAUACGGAGGAUGCAAGCGUUAUCCGGAUUCAUUGGGUUUAAAGGGUGCGUAGGCGGGGUAGUAAGUCAGUGGUGAAAGCCUGCGGCUUAACCGUAGAAUUGCCAUUGAUACUGCUAUUCUUGAGUGCAGUUGAGGUAGGCGGAAUGUGUAAUGUAGCGGUGAAAUGCUUAGAUAUUACACAGAACACCGAUUGCGUAGGCAGCUUACUAAACUGUAACUGACGCUGAGGCACGAAAGCGUGGGGAGCGAACAGGAUUCGAUACCCUGGUAGUCCACGCUGUAAACUAUGAUCACUCGCUGUUGGCGAUACAUUGUCAGCGGCUGAGCGAAAGCAUUAAGUGAUCCACCUGGGGAGUACGGCCGCAAGGUUGAAACUCAAAGGAAUUGACGGGGGCCCGCACAAGCGGUGGAACAUGUGGUUUAAUUCGAUGAUACGCGAGGAACCUUACCUGGGCUUAAAUGCAGAACGACGUACCGGGAAACUGGUACUCCCUUCGGGGCGGACUGCAAGGUGCUGCAUGGUUGUCGUCAGCUCGUGCCGUGAGGUGUCGGGUUAAGUCCCAUAACGAGCGCAACCCUCAUUGUUAGUUGCCAGCGAGUAAUGUCGGGGACUCUAACGAAACUGCCGGUGUAAACCGUGAGGAAGGUGGGGAUGACGUCAAAUCAGCACGGCCCUUAUGUCCAGGGCUACACACGUGUUACAAUGG
rnacentral:rRNA from 1 species